GCAAGUCGAACGGCAGCACGGGAGCAAUCCUGGUGGCGAGUGGCGAACGGGUGAGUAAUAUAUCGGAACGUGCCCAGUCGUGGGGGAUAACGCAGCGAAAGCUGUGCUAAUACCGCAUACGAUCUAUGGAUGAAAGCGGGGGACCGUAAGGCCUCGCGCGAUUGGAGCGGCCGAUAUCAGAUUAGCUUGUUGGUGGGGUAAAAGCCCACCAAGGCGACGAUCUGUAGCUGGUCUGAGAGGACGACCAGCCACACUGGAACUGAGACACGGUCCAGACUCCUACGGGAGGCAGCAGUGGGGAAUUUUGGACAAUGGGCGCAAGCCUGAUCCAGCAAUGCCGCGUGCAGGAUGAAGGCCUUCGGGUUGUAAACUGCUUUUGUACGGAACGAAACGGCUCUUUCUAAUAAAGAGGGCUAAUGACGGUACCGUAAGAAUAAGCACCGGCUAACUACGUGCCAGCAGCCGCGGUAAUACGUAGGGUGCGAGCGUUAAUCGGAAUUACUGGGCGUAAAGCGUGCGCAGGCGGUUAUAUAAGACAGAUGUGAAAUCCCCGGGCUCAACCUGGGACCUGCAUUUGUGACUGUAUAGCUAGAGUACGGUAGAGGGGGAUGGAAUUCCGCGUGUAGCAGUGAAAUGCGUAGAUAUGCGGAGGAACACCGAUGGCGAAGGCAAUCCCCUGGACCUGUACUGACGCUCAUGCACGAAAGCGUGGGGAGCAAACAGGAUUAGAUACCCUGGUAGUCCACGCCCUAAACGAUGUCAACUGGUUGUUGGGUCUUCACUGACUCAGUAACGAAGCUAACGCGUGAAGUUGACCGCCUGGGGAGUACGGCCGCAAGGUUGAAACUCAAAGGAACUGACGGGGACCCGCACAAGCGGUGGAUGAUGUGGUUUAAUUCGAUGUCACGCGAAAAACCUUACCCACCUUUGACAUGUACGGAAGU
rnacentral:rRNA from 1 species